AUUCACCCUUGAUCUUUUGCGUACUUCCUUGUUUCCUUGGUGGGUUCGCCCACCACUAGGACAAACAUAAACCUUUUGUAAUUGCAAUCAGCGUCAGUAACAAAUUAAUAAUUACAACUUUCAACAACGGAUCUCUUGGUUCUGGCAUCGAUGAAGAACGCAGCGAAAUGCGAUAAGUAGUGUGAAUUGCAGAAUUCAGUGAAUCAUCGAAUCUUUGAACGCACAUUGCGCCCUUUGGUAUUCCAAAGGGCAUGCCUGUUCGAGCGUCAUUUGUACCCUCAAGCUUUGCUUGGUGUUGGGCGUCUUGUCUCUAGCUUUGCUGGAGACUCGCCUUAAAGUAAUUGGCAGCCGGCCUACUGGUUUCGGAGCGCAGCACAAGUCGCACUCUCUAUCAGCAAAGGUCUAGCAUCCAUUAAGCCUUUUUUUCAACUUUUGACCUCGGAUCAGGUAGGGAUACCCGCUGAACUUAAGCAUAUCAAUAAGCGGAGGA
rnacentral:rRNA from 1 species